UCCCCCGCAGGAUCGUACCUGGAGAGUUUACAGUAUUCUACCAGUCUCGGCUACAGAAGUGAAAGUCAAGCAGUCAUACCCAUUCCAUUCUUAGCUUGGGCAGUGGCUAGUAAGUGGAAGGCAAUCUGCUACAAGU